rnacentral:lncRNA from 1 species
UCCCACCUGGUGCCUGUUCGCUCAAGUUUCCUUUGCCCACCCGUCCUGGGUCUCUGGGCUGCAGGCAGAGCAGCUCCCAAGCUUCUCCAAGUUCACUGGCCCCUCUUCCCACCUUAAAACCAGCUGCAUCAGCAGAAGAGAUUAUGCCAGGUAUUAAAAGCCCGCCAGGGGGCGGGGGUGGGGUGGGGUAGGAUUGCCAGGCCAGCAUGCUAGAGGCCCAGGCACCUGCAGGGACACCAGGAACAGCUGUCCACCAGCUGGAAGGGCCACUGCUCCCCUACAUGUGCCCAAAACCUGACCUUCCCUGUGCCUCUAGCUGAAGUUUGCUCCAGUCCAGGCUCACAAGGCAGUGGUCUGUGGUCAGCUAUGCAUGGGGCUUGGGAUGCUAGGAUUGUGGUGGAAGUGAGGGAAAGAUUUAGGGCUGAGCCAGGUGAGGGGACACUGGAGAAUUUUCACAGCUGGGCUGAUCCUGGAGCAGGAGUGAGAGCAGUGGUGGGAUGUGCAGGAUGGGCUGGAGGGACCUGCAGACCUCUCUGGAUGGAUGAUGCUCCAGCACCCGCUCAGGGUGAAGACAAGCAGGGUUCAGGAUGAAGACCUCUCACCUAAGCAGCAAGGGUCGACCCUGCCCCUCUCCCUGCCCUGUCCCCUGAAGCUGCUAGUCAGUUGCAGCGUGAGUACUGGGGCAGAAACUGUCCUCUCCGGAGAAGUGCUCACACUGCAGGGGACACUGCUGGGGGUUCAGGGGAGAAUGGGACCCUCACCCCCGUGAGUAACUAGGGAUCAGUAACUAGGUAGCCGCCUUCCUGCAGCAGGCCACCCUCUGGCCCCUGCUUCUUAGCUGCAACCUCUGCAAGGUCCUGGCCCAUAUAGGUGUGACCUGUGAGGAGGUUAAAGGAAAGGUACCUUAGCCCCUGGCUGGGGCUCUCUCUCUGAAGUGCACCUGUAGUCCCAGCUCCUCGAGGCUGAGGCAAGAGGAUCACCUGAGCCCAAAAGUUUGAG